GAGCCCGAAGGGGGUAGUCGAUGGGAACCACGUUAAUAUUCGUGGGCCUGGAGGUGUGUGACGGAUCUCUUAAGUUGUAUGCCCUUAUCGGAUUGGGUGUGCUUCGACGAGGUUCCAGGAAAUAGCCUCUCCGUAUAGACCGUACCCGAAACCGACACAGGUGGUCUGGUAGAGUAUACCAAGGCGCUUGAGAGAAGGGUGUUGAAGGAACUCGGCAAAUUGCCUCCGUACCUUCGGAAGAAGGAGGCCCUCACU
rnacentral:rRNA from 1 species